rnacentral:rRNA from 1 species
UUGACCUCGGAUCAGGUAGGAAUACCCGCUGAACUUAAGCAUAUCAAUAAGCGGAGGAAAAGAAACCAACAGGGAUUGCCCUAGUAACGGCGAGUGAAGCGGCAACAGCUCAAAUUUGAAAUCUGGCUUUCGGGCCCGAGUUGUAAUUUGUAGAGGAAGCUUUUGGCGCGGCACCUUCUGAGUCCCCUGGAACGGGGCGCCAUAGAGGGUGAGAGCCCCGUAUAGUUGGAUGCCUAGCCUUUGUAAAGCUCCUUCGACGAGUCGAGUAGUUUGGGAAUGCUGCUCAAAAUGGGAGGUAAAUUUCUUCUAAAGCUAAAUACCGGCCAGAGACCGAUAGCGCACAAGUAGAGUGAUCGAAAGAUGAAAAGCACUUUGAAAAGAGGGUUAAAUAGCACGUGAAAUUGUUGAAAGGGAAGCGCUUGUGACCAGACUUGCGCCGGGCUGAUCAUCCGGUGUUCUCACCGGUGCACUCUGCCCGGCUCAGGCCAGCAUCGGUUCUCGUGGGGGGACAAAGGUCCUGGGAACGUAGCUCCUCCGGGAGUGUUAUAGCCCAGGGCGUAAUGCCCCCGCGGGGACCGAGGCUCGCGCUCUGCAAGGAUGCUGGCGUAAUGGUCAUCAGCGAC